ACAUGUGUGUGGUGUAAAGUUGUCAGCAGGGGGAAUAACCCAGGGCUGUGAAUGAGCCCUGUCACUGUGAUCAGGUUCCUCCUUCUAAUCCACCAACUUAGUGUUGAUGAAGACUAAACAGAGAGAUCCCAGCCUUCUUUCUACUUGCUGUAGCUCAGAGUUACUCCACACUGCAGAUAUGACGCCUCUGUUCAUCUCAGUGCUGCUGGCUGCUAUGAGCCUUGAAUGCAGAGCACAACAAGACAACGUGCUGCAACCAACAGGAGAUGUGACUGCUACUGAAGGAGAGGCAGUAACACUUGGCUGUCAAUAUAGCAGCAGUUCAUCUAAUGAUUAUCUCUUCUGGUACAAACAGGAUGGAAACAACAGCCCCAAAUUCAUUGUGAUGCGCGUUCAAGGGGAUGAAGGGAACACACCGGACGAGUUCAGGGACAGAUUUUCAUCUACACUCAAUUCCAAGUUAAAAUCAGUUCCUCUGGAGAUCCAGAAGCUUCAGCUGUCUGACUCUGCUGUGUACUACUGUGCUCUGCAGCCCACAGUGACAGGAAACACCAAAACUCUGUACAAAAACCUU